GGCGGGGGCCUCGGGAAGAGUUAUCUUUUCUGCUUAACGGCCUGCCAACCCUGGAAACGGUUCAGCCGGAGGUAGGGUCCAGUGGCCGGAAGAGCACCGCACGUCGCGCGGUGUCCGGUGCGCCCCCGGCGGCCCAUCGAAAUCCGGAGGACCGAGUACCGUUCACGCCCGGUCGUACUCAUAACCGCAUCAGGUCGCCAAGGUGAACAGCCUCUGGCCAAUGGAACAA
rnacentral:ncRNA from 1 species